ensembl:lncRNA
GCUCCUGGGACGGGAGCUCCCAGCCCUGCUCCCUGCGGCUCCUGCCCUGCUCCCGGCCCUUCCUGGGGCUGGGAUGGAACGAGGGGCUGCCAUGGAAGGGGGGGCUGGGAUGGAAGGGGAGCCAGACACUGAGGCAGGGGCUGGGGAAAAGCUGGAGUGCCACAGGGAACGGGCAGAGCACGAGUGGAAGCUCUGGCAGGGAGGACAGGUCAGGAACACGCUGCACCUCAUCUCUGCCGUGGCUCAGUGGAUUUUACUGCUUGCCUGCCUGAUUUACCUGGGGGUACAUUUUCUGCAGCCCACAAAGACCCAGAGUGACAAGGUGCUGUGGACCCACAUCCGCUACACAGGUGAAAGCACGGAAGGAGCAGCCGUGAACCUGACCGCGGAGUUCGGGCCCAUCCAGGUCAGGAACGGCUCCGUCGUGGUGCCCUGCGACGGCCUGUACCUCGUGUCCCUCAGGAGCUUCAUCUACCAGCCCAGGGAUGGGGUCAAGCUGAAGCUGACCCUGCAGGUCACACAGAAGACGACCAGAAGUGUCCCGUGGGAGGAGACUGUCCAGGGCAGUGAGAGCAGGGUGAACCUCAGCACAGUGCUCUACCUGUUCGAGCAGGACAGCAUCACGCUGUGGACCAGCUCCCACGCCAACAUCUCGGACCUGACCUUUAGCCUGGUGUUAGUAGGUGAGAACAAGUCCUAGCUGCAGGAGCUGGAGUAUGAAGAGCAGCAGGGAAAGCACAGCCUUCCCCACCGAGCUGUAGGUUUUGUACUUGUCCAGGCAGACUGCUCUAGAACCCCUCGUGGGGCUGUGGAGGGCCUGGGUGGGAGUGCAGAUGAACCACAGGUUUUAUAUAGUGCACGCAGGAUUCGCCUCUUUGGAGCUCUCUGCAGCUGAUUUGCUGCCCAGGAUGGAUCUUUCCAACCCUGGGGAAAGGGAUGCGUGAAGCUCUUUUGAGAAGAACAGAAAUGAAAGCCAAAGAAAGUCACCCAAGCUUAGCUCAUAUUCAGAGAAACCCCGGGUUUCCCUAUUUACUUGACAGUAUCUGUAUAUAGUAGAAAUGUGUUGUGUUUUUUCUCAAAUAAAAGUCUGGUGAGUCAGGAAGACACCUCAAGUGUCUUGAAGCCAAUUGGAGCAGGAAGAGCACAAAUCUGCCCAGCAAGAUGGAAAACAGGGAAGAGGCAGCCUGAAAUGCCUUUGGAGUGAGCCAGAUAAAGGCUGUGUGAGAGGGAAGGGCCGUGAGAGAAGGUGGUGCUUGGAAAUGAGCUGACAGGACCGCACCGGGCAGCAGGAGCACUGACUGUGGAGUUUUGGGGAGAGCCUUUGAGAGCGGAGCCCCACUGGCUGUUCCAGCUGUCUGCAGAUCACUGAUGCCUGUGCCCAUCUGCUGGGACAUUCAGGGCCUCAGAGGAAAACCUCCUUCAAGCACACACACACUGGCUUGACCCAAAAGUGAUCCAGGCACAUAAAAAGUUGGGCAAACUUGUGGUGAGCUCUCUCUAAUGGACCAAGGGGAAGCUGCAGGUCUGUGCAGCCUCUGCUCAGGGAGGACUCGGAUGGUUCUCAUGCCUGCCCUUGGCUUUGUCCCACAGGUGUGACCAGAGAUUCCCAGGCACAGCUGCCUGCUGCUGCAGUCAGACGUGUCUCAGUGACUCUCCUGCCUGCUCUGACUGCAGCUGCUGGAGACAGGUCCUGCCCAUGCUGCAGGCAGCCCCUGACCCCAGCACAGCCAGCAGCUGGGGCAGUUUUGCUUGCAGCAAGGCAGAUUUUAACUACCUGUCAGUUUUUGACUUUGUGUCUCCCAAGGAACUCCAUUGACAUUUCAGCAUGUCACUGCUGGCUGCACGCUCCAAAGUCUUUUGUUAGAAGUAUUUAUGUAGUUAAGUGAUGGGCAUAAGAAUGUUACAUCAGAUUGCUUAGAAACCCUGGGAAGGGUUCAGAGCAGAUUGCCAGCACCAAACUCCUCUUUGAAGAUGCUCCCAAUGCUCUGGGCUGUUCCUGCUUUGCAGACACCCAGACCUGGACUGAUGCACUCAUGGCUGAGCACUCCAGCAAGCUCAGGUGCUGCAGGCAACUAUGGACAUCCUCCAGGCCUUGGAGAGUUUUCCUGGGCUUUAGGCUAAGGAGCUUCCCUACCUGGCCAGGCUGGAGCCUCAGGGGAAACUGGCUGAAGCUUUUCUCCCCUCAUCUGAGAAGCUGUGGCUGACUUGCACCUACAGGAUGCUCAUCAUUAAGAGAUAUUUUGGGCUUUAAACUCUGGCCAUGCUCACCACCAGUGGACUGAAGGAAGCUGCACCCUGCCCCGAAGCUGGGGAUUGUCACUCCCCAGCAGAAGUGAGAACGUGUUUCUCUUCCUAAAAAAUAAUACAUUUUUCCUUUGUAGUAUUUGGGCUUGUAGUGUCCCUUGGAGGCGGGGGCUGUGGGAGAAGGAGGUUGGAAGUGACUGGUGAAUGAUACAUUCAGUGUUUGAGCAGACAUUUUCAAUGGUAUGGAAACUAUAUGACAUUUUCACCUACUUCCUUUUUUUAUAGUUCAGCUUUUGUUUCAGCUCUCCAUGAGGGUGUGCAGGGCUGGUGCUUCCCAGCGUGUGCUGACACUGGGCAGGCCGUGCCUGUGGUGUGUGCAGGGGUGCACAGGACAGCAAGAAAGAUGAAGCCUUUCUCUGAAGAGAGCACAAAUGGAUUUGUUGUUUGGAAGGCUGCACCCUUUCUUCUUGUUUAGAGUAGGAGAGGACAUUUCACUCACUGAUCCCACUGCACUUCCAGGCUGAACUGGACCGAUCUGCAUCUAUACAUAUACCUGCACUUGUCUUGAAAUAAAGGUUGAAACAAUUCAACUCCUGCCAUUGAUUACUUGAUGGACUGACUACCCUCAUCAGAAAGUUUCCAUGCCCUCAGCUUUUGUUUGCACCCAGAGACCCCUUUCUUCCACCAGGUUCACAGUCUCUUUGAUACGAGAAACAUCAAUAUUUGUUGUUGUAGGAGCUCACAGAUGGUGCUAGAAUCCCACCUGACAGCUCUGUUCAGCCAGGCCAGUGCACCCAGGGCUUAGGCCACCCCUUGAAGCCGGGCAUGUGGAAGUGCAAAGCUGGACCAGGCAGUUUCUGGAGACAAUCCCUGACUACAGAGGGGCAGCACAUUCUUUUUCCUGUGCUUACAGUCACAGAAAGGAGACCUCGUGGUGUGUCCUCUGUGAUGGAUGGGUAGUGCGAGGAUUGACUCUCACAAUUAUCAUGUAUAUUGACAAAUAUCAUGUAUAUAUGGUAAGAAAAAUUGUAUAGAUUUAUAGUUAUGUUUUACCCCCCCACGUUACCAAGGGACAUCUGGGGUUGGGACAUUUGGGAGGGUUGGCUUGUCACUAUGGUGACAUCUGACCUCCAAUCAGGAUUUAUGGAGGCAAAACUCCACCACUGGACAGAGGAGAAGGAGAUGGACAGAACUUUGGGAAGGGCAAAAGGGUUAAAAGGCAAAACCUCCAUUGUGUGGUUGAGCACAUGGUGGGAAAAUCCUCUGCUCCCAACGCUGUAACAUUUUCUCUAUUCAGUCUUCUGUUGUAUUUUUGAUAAGGUUUAAUAAAC